GGGCCCGUGGCUCAGCCUGGUAGAGCGUCCGGCUGAUAACCGGAAGGUCGGGGGUUCAAAUCCCCCCGGGCCCA
rnacentral:tRNA from 1 species